CACUAUCUUUAACACACAGUCUUGGUCUCAUUCAUUGAAGAACAAAUUGUCAUCAUAAUCUCUUAUUAAAACAUGAUAAAUAGCUUUCUUUUUGGCCGACCUCACCUAUCAAUACCGAUAUUGAAUCAUGUUAAACAAUAACCCAAUAGCCGCUGUAUGAUUGUAUGUGCAGUAUCUCAGGGUUUAGUCAGUCAGCCCUGCGUUUCUGUCCCUCAUUGAACCCGUUUCACUCUGAAGUGAUUACUAAAACAGGUCGCAGAAAGCAUUUUCAUGUUAAUUUUCAUUAUGUGUGCUCGUGUAAAACAGUUUAGAGUUGAAAUGUUCAGCAGGUUUUUGCAGCGAUGAAAGCGUCUCUGCGGGACAGAUGUUCUGGGUUAAUUACAGCACAUAUAAAGCUCUUUAAAAUCAGCAACAAGCGCUCCGUGCCGAGCGAGUCGUGAUUGGAGGUUGUUGGCCCGGCUGAGGUGUCGUAUACCUGCUCCGUCUCGCUCUCCGGGGAAAAAUCACGCCGCUAACAUGCCGGGAAACACUUCAAAGCCACUGGACACGUGUGACCGAUGGGUCUUUCCUGCCUGUCAGAGAUGAGAGAGAGAGAGAAGCAGCAGGAGUCUCUCUCUCUCUGUGCUGUCAGGUUUAUGGUUAUGGUUGGCUGAUCGUUGAGUGAUGUUGGAGCGUGAACAGAACGGAAGGGAAUCCACCAGCACACACACACCGUCACCACUCCAGCGCUGAUGCCAAGCCUCAGAUACGCAACUGCACGAGAUCAUCAUCAUCACGGCUCAGAUGAAAGAGAGAUGUACUUACUGUACCGCAUUUGCCCAAAUGAACAGCAGAACGCACCGUAUCCCACAAUGCAAUGCGUUUAAAAUGGACUUCAACCCCAGGAUAUCAAACAUCUAGUCCUUCAUUAUUUGCUCUGCCAAAAAUUUAAACGGUUUGACACAAAAUGAGAUUGAAAAUGCAACAGUUUAAAUAUUUGCAUAAUAAUUAGAUGAGCGAAUGAGGUCAUGUUUCAGGAUUUAUCUGCGAUGAGAAUGCAGUGUGCAGCAUGUACUGCGUGUGUUCUCUCUGACUGCGGACGGAUCACGACCGCUCGCUCUGUCGCAUGCCUGUGCGCACGCAUGCAGGGCUGUGUUCCAAUGCAUGUUUGCUCUGAGCAACGAAAAUAAACAGAGAAGAGGGAAUGACUUGUGUGGAAUUGAUACUCCAAAUGAAAUGUUAUGACAGCUCUCCUCUGAACUGAAUCCCUGAAAUGUCUGAACAUGUACGAUUACAUUUGUAAAUGAUGGAUUGUGCUAUUGAAUGUGUGCAGAAGACGACGUGGAGUACUGCUGAGAGGAACAAGAAAGGCUUGGCCUCAACAAAUGAGACUGUAAAGAGGAGAUGCAGAGACUUCCCGAGGUCUUGUUGUCUUUUGAACAUCGCCGGCCGCAUGCUUCAGAGAAUCACCGCGAGACUAAACAUGAUCAUCUCCAGGGAGAAACUUCUGAGACCACGUUGAUACGUCCACGAAGCCCAACUGAGAACUCCAUCAAAUCUCCUGAGCUAUAAAAGAGCAACAUGAAUAAUGCAGCUCACAUGACCGACUACUGACUAAAGACGAACCUUAAUCCAGAAGGACUCACAGACGUAGGAAUAUUGUGACAGAGAUGAGCUGAGCGGUUUGGAAUCACACCAGCCCGGGAUUUCAUUCUGAAAUGUCGGAUCAUCAUUGAAAAUGCAACACAAGUAUCUUUCCAGCAUGUUCUUCUGCUGUCAGAACACAAGAACACACACUGGUCCUUCCGUCAGAUAAAACAAAAAGAUGGAAACAGAGUCGUUUAAAACUCUGCUGAGAUCUUCGUCCGGACUGUUUUAACGUUUUCCUCCAGAGUCUCUCUGCCGCUGUCUCCUCAUCCGCCGUUGAAAUCUGAAAAACCUCGGCUGCCUCGGAGGAUUGAGAGCUGAUGGAAGUUAAACUCGUUUUAAAGAGACAUCCCGAGCUGUUUGUCUUUCACAGCACGUUUCAGCGUCUGUCCUCAUGUUGAAUAUUAAUUUAUUCACACACCUGAGAUAACACACGACCACACGCUUCAGUCUUCUGCUCCACAUUAUUGCUGACUCUGGAAACCACCCACAGUGUGAAGUUUCAUGAGGUUCAGAGCUCCACACAAUAACAUCCAGGUGGAUUUCAGCAUCAGACCUCCAGACAUCUGCCUGAAACUUGUAUUGCAUCACAAUCUCUGACUCUGAUCCCACCGGCUGUAGGCAACAGAGCAAUGAAGGCAUGCAUUUUCUUACACCUGCAAGGCUGUUCCUUCCCUAAAACCCCACAGAGAAGAACUUCAGCUCAGGCACAUUUCCAUAAAUCGAGAGAGAGAGAGAGAGAGAGAGAGAGAGAGAGAGAGAGAGAGAGAGAGAAUAUCAGGAAAGAAACUGCUCAGGAGGAGACGCCCGACAGAGGAGGCCAUUAAAAACCCUUAUGCAACACCUGUCAUCUGUACAACACAGAGCUUUUUCACACUUUUUUGUAGUAACUUACCCAACACUGGUGUCAGUUCACCUGUAGCGUGUACUGUACGGGGUCUUGACACAGCACGCGUGGACACCUGUCAUCAUACCCUAAGUGUUUGCAGUAAUUGCGACUGCAUUAGCAUUAGGGGCUCACAGCAGACCCUCAGAACGCUGCAUAUCAUUACAGGCAUGCUCUCCUGGGAUAUCGCAACACCCUCAUCUGAAUUCAGAAUGCACAGUCAUACUGUAUUUUCUUCAAGUGCUGGUUUUAUAACACCCCCCGCCCCCCAUCCGCCCCCCAUCCACCCCCACCACGCACAAAUCUCUCUCUCUCUUAUAACUCCUUUUGUCCUCUAAGUGAUUUGGUUGCCUCUGAGAGCUUAUUUCAAGCAAUAAUAGUGUCGAGCAGGUCUGUCGUCCUCCAUAUUUCACACGCAGAGAGAAAGAGGGGGUGAAGGACGACUGUGGUGUGUGUUUGUGUCCGUGCUGUUUAAAGGGCAGCUCACUCUGAAAGAAAUUCAUGAAUUUUUUAAGAAUCCUUAUUCAAUUCUUUUCCAUACAACGAAAGUUUAACUAAAGCCAAACAGUUGAGAUUGACAGACGUGCCCCCUAUUAACUGUUUUAAUAGUGGACCUAUAUACAAGCAUUUUUCUGAAGUGAUGCCUCCUACUCUUUUACAAACUCUUUACAUUGCUUGAGAAACAGUACAUUAAUCAACGAUCUGUUUAUUACUUAGAGUGAUUCAAAUGAAAUAAUUGAUAUUCAUCGAAAGGGAAUAAAUACCACAAAUACACAUAAGCCAUAUAUAGGCAAAUAUACAGUAUCUGGGAUCGACAGUUAACAGAACAAAAUAAAUCUUUCAUUUAUAUUUGGCUGAAUACUAAGUCCCGGUCCCAUCUCUGAUUUAAAAAUGCACAUGAACAUCCAUGUACAAGAUUUUUAUUCACAGAUCGUUUUUAUUUCUAUUCUAUAGACCUCUUCACUCCCUGAUAGCUGCCCACUGCUCCGGGUGUACGUGUGUUCACCACUUGCUGUGCGUGUGUUCACUACUCUCUGGAUGGGUUAAAUGCAGAGGUCACAUUUCGGGUAUGGGUCACCAUAUCUGACUAAUAGGUCACUUUCACUUUCUUUGGAUGAUGUAAAGAAGAAGUGCUUCAACGGUGGUCCAGAAUAACUUCCUGUUUCAGUUACACAAAUGUUUGAACAAAAUAAAACCAACCGAAUAUUUAUAACCAAUUUAAAAUGUUAAACCAUAUCUUUAAAAUGUAUCAUAUAUAUAUAAUGGUAUUUAUAAAGGAAAUUACGUUAUAUGAUAAAGGAAACCUAUAAACAAGUAGCUAUUUUUAAACAUAUUAAACAUACUUUUCAAUAAUCUAAAUUAUCUUAUACUAUAU